rnacentral:tRNA from 1 species
GCGAGAGUGGCGGAAUUUGGCAGACGCGCUGGACUUAGGAUCCAGAGGGCAACCGUGGGGGUUCGAGUCCCCCCUCUCGCA